AGCCCCGCGGUCCAGCCUUCCCUCGGCUAGCGGUGGCAAAAGAAAACCUAGGCGGCGGCGGCGAAAGAAAUCCUAGGUGGCGGCGGCGGCGGCAGGUCCGGCGACCGGUGACCCGGCCUCGGCGGCGCGCGGAUCCGGCUCCAUCCCCACCUCUCUGUUGUGCAUCCCCCAAAAUCGCUCAAGAAGGCAAGACCACAAUCCGGAAGGUGCCCUGGGGCUGAAGGCUGCUACGGAGCCUGAAGGUUGCUUGCCGGCGCCCCGCAGCACCGCCUCCACCGCCUCCACCGAGAUGCAGGGUGCCCUGGCCGGCAUGGCAAUAGCACCAUGGUGGCAGCAUGAGCGGCGCCCAGGUAGGGUGCGGGAACGCGCCCUGAUCCCGUUUUGAUGUUGCAAUGUUAGGUGUUGUAAAGUUUUUAUGUUACAUGUUAGUCUACAUGUAUGAGGAAAGUAAAAUACAGAGAAAAUAUGAAGACAUUGCAGCAAAACAA